rnacentral:antisense_RNA from 1 species
CAAUAACACAACAUCUUGCAUAAAUUUCAGGACUAUAAUUAG